rnacentral:lncRNA from 10 species
AAACACACCCAGUUUUCCAGGCUCCGAUGGCUCAACAAUACUACUUUUCCUUAGCAAGGAGCACAUUACUGCCAUGAUUUAUGGCUGGGAAAUCCGGACACAGACAUGCGCAGAGGGAGAAGGCUAUGUGAGGAAGAAGGCAGUGGUUGGAGUGAUGAUUCUCCAAGCCUAGGAAGGCCAGUGACUGGCAGCAAAGCACCAGAAACGAGGGGAAGAAACAUGGAACCGAUUCCUUCUCAGGCCUCAGGAGGAACCAACCCAGACGAACCUUGAUCUCAGGCUCUAGCCUCUGUUGCAAUAAAACAUUUUAUUGUUGA